AGAGUUUGAUCCUGGCUCAGGAUGAACGCUGGCGGCGUGCCUAACACAUGCAAGUCGAGCGAAGCGGUUUCGAUGAAGUUUUCGGAUGGAUUUGGAAUUGACUGAGCGGCGGACGGGUGAGUAACGCGUGGGUAACCUGCCUCAUACAGGGGAAUAACAGUUAGAAAUGACUGCUAAUACCGCAUAAGCGCACAGGACUGCAUGGUCCAGUGUGAAAAACUCCGGUGGUAUGAGAUGGACCCGCGUCUGAUUAGCUAGUUGGUGGGGUAACGGCCUACCAAGGCGACGAUCAGUAGCCGACCUGAGAGGGUGACCGG
rnacentral:rRNA from 1 species